UCUUAAGUAAUGGCGAAUGAACAGGGAUAUGCCUAUUGUGGAAAUUGAGGUUGAUGACCUUGAAUUGUUUUCUUCAAACGCUCUUCCAGCAAAGGUGCACAUGUAAAUUUUGUGGAAAAAAAUUCCAAGGAAGGUGACAUGCCUGUCUGAGUUGUGUGACCCUUUGUAUACGGGAUGUGUUUUACAAGUCACGUUCCUUGGAAUUGGAAUGCAAAGUUGGUGGUAAUCUUCACCCAAGGCUAAUUAUUGGUGUGAAACCGAUAGCAAACAAGUACCAUGAGGGAAACAUGAAAAGGACUUUGAAAAGAGGGUUAAAAGUGCUUGAAAUUGCUGAACUGGAAGCGAAGGAUGUCUGAGUGCCGAUGAUAGAUUGCUGCCGUUGCAUGCUGCUUGAUUGGUUUGCGACAUGCAAGCUUGUGCAUGGAGUUAUGCAAGGGUAGUGUUGCUGUCGUGGCGUGCUAGUGCCUUUGUGUGUUGGAGCAUGUGUGUCGAAGCAUGGAAGCUCGCUGGUUGAGUGUGUGAAUGCUCGGUUGUUGCUCAGACACAUUGAGUGUAAUGGUUUCUUUUGGAAUGUAUCAGCUUCCACCUGUGGUUGUGGAUCCUAUUCUUGUGUGCAAGCCAUUGAAACUAGUGAAUGGACAUCUUUCGACCCGUCUUGAAACACGGACCAAGGAGUCUAAUGCAUGUGUGAGCUUUCGGGUAGUUAAGCUUCGUUGCGUAUUGAAGGAAAUAGUUGGUAUAUCUUCUCCAGCAACUAACCAAGCAAUUGUGUGAGGUUUGAGUGGUAGCAUGUGUGUUAGGACCCGAAAGAUGGUGAACUAUGCUUGAGGAAAGCAAAGUCAGGGGAAACUCUGAUGGAGGCUUGUAGCGAUACUGACGUGCAAAUCGUUCGUCAUACUUGAGUAUAGGGGCGAAAGACUAAUCGAACCAUCUAGUAGCUGGUUCCCUCCGAAGUUUCCCUCAGGAUAGCUUGAAUU
rnacentral:rRNA from 1 species